AGUGGUAUAGAUCAGUGGUAGAUCACUUGGCCAGAAAACAUAAAAACUAGGUUCAAUCCCUAGGACCACCA
rfam:Cricetulus griseus cell line CHO-K1, whole genome shotgun sequence.